rnacentral:rRNA from 1 species
AGUGGACGCUGGCGGUAGGCCUAACACAUGCAAGUCGAACGGCAGCACAGUAAGAGCUUGCUCUUACGGGUGGCGAGUGGCGGACGGGUGAGGAAUACAUCGGAAUCUACUUUUUCGUGGGGGAUAACGGAGGGAAACUUACGCUAAUACCGCAUACUACCUACGGGUGAAAUCAGAGGAUCUUCGGACCUUGCGCGAUUGAAUGAGCCGAUUUCGGAUUAGCUAGUUGGCGGGGUAAAGGCCCACCAAGGCGACGAUCCGUAGCUGGUCUGAGAGGAUGAUCAGCCACACUGGAACUGAGACACGGUCCAGACUCCUACGGGAGGCAGCAGUGGGGAAUCUUGGACAAUGGGCGCAAGCCUGAUCCAGCCAUACCGCGUGGGUGAAGAAGGCCUUCGGGUUGUAAAGCCCUUUUGUUGGGAAAGAAAAGCAGCAGGUUAAUACCCCGAUGUUCUGACGGUACCCAAAGAAUAAGCACCGGCUAACUUCGUG